UACAGAGGUCUCAAGCGUUGUUCGGAAUUACUGGGCGUAAAGGGUGCGCAGGCCGCGCGGGCAGUCAAAUGUGUAAUCCAGGGGCUCAACCCCUGAACUGCGCUUGAUACUUCCGCGCUCGAGCUUUGGAGAGGAGUCUGGAAUUCUCGGUGUAGCAGUGAAAUGCGUGGAUAUCGAGAAGAACACUUAGGGCGUAGGCAAGACUCUGGACAAAUGCUGACGCUCAUGCACGAAAGCUAGGGUAGCGAACGGG
rnacentral:rRNA from 1 species